GACGAACGCUGGCGGCGUGCCUAAUACAUGCAAGUAGAACGCUGAAGAGAGGAGCUUCCUCUUCUUGGAUGUGUUGCGAACGGGUGAGUAACGCGUAGGUAACCUGCCUUGUAGCGGGGGAUAACUAUUGGAAACGAUAGCUAAUACCGCAUAACAAUGGAUGACACAUGUCAUUUAUUUGAAAGGGGCAAUUGCUCCACUACAAGAUGGACCUGCGUUGUAUUAGCUAGUAGGUGAGGUAAUGGCUCACCUAGGCGACGAUACAUAGCCGACCUGAGAGGGUGAUCGGCCACACUGGGACUGAGACACGGCCCAGACUCCUACGGGAGGCAGCAGUAGGGAAUCUUCGGCAAUGGGGGCAACCCUGACCGAGCAACGCCGCGUGAGUGAAGAAGGUUUUCGGAUCGUAAAGCUCUGUUGUAAGUCAAGAACGGGUGUGAGAGUGGAAAGUUCACACUGUGACGGUAGCUUACCAGAAAGGGACGGCUAACUACGUG
rnacentral:rRNA from 1 species